rnacentral:rRNA from 1 species
CCUACGGGUGGCAGCAGUGAGGAAUAUUGGUCAAUGGGCGUAAGCCUGAACCAGCCAAGUCGCGUGAGGGAUGAAGGUUCUAUGGAUUGUAAACCUCUUUUAUAAGGGAAUAAAGUGCGGGACGUGUCCCAUUUUGUAUGUACCUUAUGAAUAAGGAUCGGCUAACUCCGUGCCAGCAGCCGCGGUAAUACGGAGGAUCCGGGCGUUAUCCGGAUUUAUUGGGGUUAAAGGGUGCGUAGGCGGCCUUUUAAGUCAGCGGUGAAAGUCUGGGGCUCAACCGUGGAAUUGCCGUUGAAACUGGGGGGCUAGAGUAUGUUAGAGGCAGGCGGAAUGCGUGGUGUAGCGGUGAAAUGCUUAGAUAUCACGCAGAACCCCGAUUGCGAAGGCAGCCUGCCAAGCCAUGACUGACGCUGAUGCACGAAAGCGUGGGGAUCAAACAGGAUUAGAUACCCCUGUAGUC